UACGUAGGGUGCAAGCGUUAAUCGGAAUUACUGGGCGUAAAGCGUGCGCAGGCGGUCCGUUAAGACAGAUGUGAAAUCCCCGGGCUUAACCUGGGAACUGCAUUUGUGACUGGCAGACUCGAGUAUGGCAGAGGGGGGUAGAAUUCCACGUGUAGCAGUGAAAUGCGUAGAGAUGUGGAGGAAUACCGAUGGCGAAGGCAGCCCCCUGGGCCAAUACUGACGCUCAUGCACGAAAGCGUGGGGAGCAAACAGG
rnacentral:rRNA from 1 species